CGCAUCCGGAAACAUGCAUGCAAAAAUCAAAAUGUGCAGAUUUUUAACAUUUAAAAAUCAUGAACAUGAUAGAAUAAAAUUCUGAUCUAGAUUAAAUGCUUUAAUCUAUCUAACAUACAUGAAGUAGAUUUAAUCUACGGCUAACAAGAUCGAUCACAUGCAUUUUUAUGAUGCUGAAAUUAAAAUCAGAUUUAAUUAAAAUCAAAAGCCUGG
rnacentral:lncRNA from 1 species